AGCGGGUGUAGUUUAGUGGUAAAACAACAGCCUUCCAAGCUGUUGUCGCGAGUUCGAUUCUCGUCACCCGCUU
rnacentral:tRNA from 1 species